rnacentral:rRNA from 1 species
AGUCAAACAUGUUGCUUGAGACUCACCCCGGCGCUUUUGCUUGGUGUAUUUCUCGGUGGCAAGCCAGCAUUGGUUUGUGUCGUCGGAGAAGCGCAUAGGGAAUGUAGCGUUCCCGGACGUGUUAUAGCCUUGUGCAGGAUACCACGACCUGGUUCAAGGAACGCA